AUUAACAUCAAAUAUUUUAUUAUAUAAUCCCAUUUUUUUAUUUAUUUUUUAAAAAAUUGCAAGAUAUAUUUGUAAAGGUGUGUGGCACAUAGUGUUUAUGUAGUAAAAAGGAGGUGUCUAUUUAGAUUUUUUUUUUUUUUUUUUUUUUGCAAUUAUGAAGUAAAUCUUUAAAUAUACUUAUAAAAUAGAAUCACAAAUAAUUUUGAAGAUUGAAAAAUUAAAAAAAAAUCAAAAUUCAAAAAUUAUAGUCCUUGAGUGAAAAUAAUUUUUAAUUAAGAUUUAAACAAGAAAAUGAAUUGCUAUUACAAUUAGCUAGAUAGAAAGAGAUAAUAUUUUUUAAAAUUAUAACAUGUAAUUUUAUAAUAUUUUUUUUAAUAUUUAAAUUUGAAUAAAUAAAUAAAUCUUUAGUGAAUUUAAUUGGUAGUUAAAUUAGUCAUUAGGGUCUUUAUAUUGAAUACAGAAAACAGAAUUUUUCAAUAAAAAAUUUGUGAAUAAAUAAAAACAUAAAAAAUAAGUAUUAUAAAUUUUUACACAAAUUUAUGAAAACUCAAAAUAGAGACUAAAUUCGAGCAAUGAACUAAGUUUAGUUUUACAUAUUUUUGAGAAUUAUUUUGAGAUAAGAAGAUUAUUACAAACAAGUAAAUUUACAAAAUAUAUAAGAUUUAUGUUAAAUCCAAUUGCUUAGAAAAUAUAUUAUAUAGUUUAUAUUAGAUAUAAAAUUAAAAAUAAUAUAAUAUAUAUAUUUAUUUAAUAUAUUUUUCUACCACAAAUAAAAAAAUUAUAUAAUUUAAUAUUGUAAUAUUUAUAAUUUUCAAAAAGACACUUCUCUCUUAUUUUAGACAUGUGUAUAAUUAAACAAUCUCAAAGAAUCUCACAAUAGAUAUUUAAUUGUAAUUUUAGUAAAGAAAUAUUAGUAUUUUUUUAAAAAAAAUUCAAUUUUAUUUACUAGUAAAUAUUUAUAACGAUAUAUAAUUAUAGAUUAGUAGAGAAAUAUUAAUGUUUUAAUUAAUCUUAAAUUUUGAAAGAAAAUAUGUUUAGUGCUCAGUUAUUUAUGAGUACAAAGUAUCAAUUAUUGUCAACUAUAUUUUCCAAAAAAUUAAUAAAUGUUGUUUAGUAACAAAAAUCCGUAUUAUUUUAAAAUAUCAUAUUUUUUAUUUAACUAUUUUCUCAUAAAUGUGGCCUUGUUUUUUUUUUUAAAAAAGUCUUUGUAACAUUGAAAUACUAAUAAUGCACACACAAGCAUACAUAUAUUUAGAAUGUUUAAUUAUAUUUUAAAACCUAUUUACUUCUUUUUUUAACUAUAUUUUUGUUCAAUGUAAAAUAAUAUAUAACUCAUAUCCUGCAACAAAAUAACACUUGCAAAAGGGCUGUAAUUUUGCCUUUGUAACAUCCUUUGUAACAAUGUAAUUCCAGUAUAUUUCAAUCUAAUUGAAAUAAACAAUCUAAGAUUUUACCAUAAUUCAUGAAUAUUACCAUUCACUACUCACUAGAUAUACAACAACAUUAGGUGGAUGACUAAAGAAGAAACAACCAAAUAUUUUUUUACUUACUUUAUUUAUUUUUAUCAAUUCCUAACAUAUGAAUAAAGGCGGAUUCCCCUUAUUAAGAGUAUGAAUAAAGGGUUUAGAGUAUCAAUGAAACUUUAUUGAGCUAGAAUGGAAGAAACCCUAAAUCCUCACAAAGGAAGGAAGAAAGGAAGGACCUCUAAAGGCCUCAAUAAGACACGACGAGACAAAUAAAUAUAUAUAUAUAUAUAUAUAUAUUAUAAUCAUGGUAUGUGAAAAUGAGGAAUAGGAGGCAAGGUCGGCCAACGUGUGGGGCGGACGGAAAUAGGCACCACUUCUUCCGCGCGGCAUAGGGGCCAGAGCCGGUGGCCACGUCAGCAACGAUGCCCGUCCACGUAAGAGAAAGCUUCCCUUUAUAACCGCCCACCCUAAUUUUAUUCCCGACGACGACGACCCCCACUUCCUUCCUUCCGUCUUUCCUUCGUCGGAGAAAUAAGAAUAAGAAUAAGAAUAAUACCAAUACUGCCUCCCUCCGAAGAGAAUUUUGAAUUGCGAAGAAGAAGAAGAGUAUAAAUGGGAUAGAAAAGGAAAAAAUGGGAAGGUAAUACAACAGAAAGAAAGAAAGUAAGAAUGGAUGGAUGGACAUUAUCUCGACCACCUCGUUGCUUGCUUGCUUGAUUCCCCGCCCUCCUUCACAACAAUCUCGAUCGAUCGAUGAUACAUGGCCAGCCCCGUCUCGGAAUCCGCGACAGCUGUGCGGACGCGUCGCCUUUGGGGACGACGACGACGACUAUGCUUCUUCUUCUUUUUUUUCAUUUUUUUGUUUUUUUUUCUGCUCCGAAAGAGAGAGUGCUUAAUCUGGUGUCAUCACGCAGAUUUGAGACAACUCAACACUCGGAUCUCACUUCCCCGCUUCUGCUUUUCGUUAAAAAGGUGGUUCCGCCCCCACCAACUGUGGUUGUUGCACAUGGAAGGAACCGCUCGCCCUCCAACCUGGCCUGUAAGAUUCUCGCGCUCUUAACCCUCUUUUUUCUAAACGAACUCAUGCUAAAACAGACGGAUAGUUACGAGGGUUGCGUUUCUUACGUUUGCAGAACACGGAGCAAUUACAGUAUAAUCGGUAUAUUACGGAGUUGAUUCAUGGUGAUCUAAAAGCGAUUAUUAUGGUUUGUGAAAUACUGGUGAGAAUUUACUAUUUGCAAGAUUGAAUUGGGGCUUGGUUUGUCCUCCGAAGUGGGUUUUUGCGACUGUAUGGAAGGAUAUCCAUGCCCCGUCGUUUGUCUGCAUUUCUUAGAGUCAUUGGAUGGCACUGAUGGAUCUGGAUCCACAAGUGGUGCUUCGGCGCUAGAUUCACAGAAUAGUCAAGCCUUGAAUUUCUCCAUGCGGUGGGCGGAAUUGAAAUUCGCAAUUUUCCCACCCGAUCCACUGUCAGACUCCUGCAACUUGGUCCUCGCCCAUCUUAUAUUGGCAUGUAUUUUGAUCUCAGACAACCAGUAAGCUUCUCACGGCAUCUCCUCAUUUUCCAUUCCCUCGCAAUAUUUAAAUGAAAAUUAGAGUUUGGUGGACUCGGCUUGACAUAAAAUCAUUCCACGCAAUUUCCAAGAGAAAUUAUCUGCCGGAGAUUCCACUUGGCAGUCUCGAGGUGGAAGUCUACUUCAGCUUUCUCCACCUUCUGGACGCAUGCUCCCGUUUGAUGC
rnacentral:lncRNA from 1 species